UUAAGCGACUAAGCGUACACGGUGGAUGCCCUGGCAGUCAGAGGCGAUGAAGGACGUGCUAAUCUGCGAAAAGCGCCGGCGAGGUGAUAUGAACCUUUGACCCGGCGAUGUCCGAAUGGGGAAACCCAGUGCAAUUCGUUGCACUAUCGUUAACUGAAUACAUAGGUUAACGAGGCGAACCGGGGGAACUGAAACAUCUAAGUACCCCGAGGAAAAGAAAUCAACCGAGAUUCCCCCAGUAGCGGCGAGCGAACGGGGAGCAGCCCGGAGUCUGAAUCAGCUUGUGUGUUAGUGGAACGGUCUGGAAAGUCCGGCGAUACAGGGUGAUAGCCCCGUACACGAAAGCACACAUGCUGUGAACUCGAAGAGUAGGGCGGGACACGUGGUAUCCUGUCUGAAUAUGGGGGGACCAUCCUCCAAGGCUAAAUACUCCUGACUGACCGAUAGUGAACCAGUACCGUGAGGGAAAGGCGAAAAGAACCCCGGCGAGGGGAGUGAAAAAGAACCUGAAACCGUGUACGUACAAGCAGUGGGAGCCUCUUUAUGGGGUGACUGCGUACCUUUUGUAUAAUGGGUCAGCGACUUAUAUUCUGUAGCAAGGUUAACCGUAUAGGGGAGCCGAAGGGAAACCGAGUCUUAACUGGGCGUUAAGUUGCAGGGUAUAGACCCGAAACCCGGUGAUCUAGCCAUGGGCAGGUUGAAGGUUGGGUAACACUAACUGGAGGACCGAACCGACUAAUGUUGAAAAAUUAGCGGAUGACCUGUGGCUGGGGGUGAAAGGCCAAUCAAACCGGGAGAUAGCUGGUUCUCCCCGAAAGCUAUUUAGGUAGCGCCUCGUGAAUUCAUCUUCGGGGGUAGAGCACUGUUUCGGCUAGGGGGCCAUCCCGGCUUACCAACCCGAUGCAAACUACGAAUACCGAAGAAUGUUAUCACGGGAGACACACGGCGGGUGCUAACGUCCGUCGUGAAGAGGGAAACAACCCAGACCGCCAGCUAAGGUCCCAAAGUCAUGGUUAAGUGGGAAACGAUGUGGGAAGGCACAGACAGCCAGGAUGUUGGCUUAGAAGCAGCCAUCAUUUAAAGAAAGCGUAAUAGCUCACUGGUCGAGUCGGCCUGCGCGGAAGAUGUAACGGGGCUAAACCAUGCACCGAAGCUGCGGCAGCGACACUAUGUGUUGUUGGGUAGGGGAGCGUUCUGUAAGCCGUUGAAGGUGUCCUGUGAGGGGUGCUGGAGGUAUCAGAAGUGCGAAUGCUGACAUAAGUAACGAUAAAGCGGGUGAAAAGCCCGCUCGCCGGAAGACCAAGGGUUCCUGUCCAACGUUAAUCGGGGCAGGGUGAGUCGACCCCUAAGGCGAGGCCGAAAGGCGUAGUCGAUGGGAAACAGGUUAAUAUUCCUGUACUUGGUGUUACUGCGAAGGGGGGACGGAGAAGGCUAUGUCAGCCGGGCGACGGUUGUCCCGGUUUAAGCAUGUAGGCGGAGGUUCCAGGUAAAUCCGGUACCUUGUUAACGCUGAGGUGUGAUGACGAGGCACUACGGUGCUGAAGUGAUAAAUGCCCUGCUUCCAGGAAAAGCCUCUAAGCAUCAGGUAACACGAAAUCGUACCCCAAACCGACACAGGUGGUCAGGUAGAGAAUACCAAGGCGCUUGAGAGAACUCGGGUGAAGGAACUAGGCAAAAUGGUGCCGUAACUUCGGGAGAAGGCACGCUGAUAUGUAGGUGAAGUCCCUGCGGACGGAGCUGAAAUCAGUCGAAGAUACCAGCUGGCUGCAACUGUUUAUUAAAAACACAGCACUGUGCAAACACGAAAGUGGACGUAUACGGUGUGACGCCUGCCCGGUGCCGGAAGGUUAAUUGAUGGGGUUAGCGGCAACGCGAAGCUCUUGAUCGAAGCCCCGGUAAACGGCGGCCGUAACUAUAACGGUCCUAAGGUAGCGAAAUUCCUUGUCGGGUAAGUUCCGACCUGCACGAAUGGCGUAAUGAUGGCCAGGCUGUCUCCACCCGAGACUCAGUGAAAUUGAACUCGCUGUGAAGAUGCAGUGUACCCGCGGCAAGACGGAAAGACCCCGUGAACCUUUACUAUAGCUUGACACUGAACACUGGUCCUUGAUGUGUAGGAUAGGUGGGAGGCUUUGAAGCGUGGACGCCAGUCUGCGUGGAGCCAACCUUGAAAUACCACCCUUUAAUGGCUGGUGUUCUAACGUAGACCCGUAAUCCGGGUUGCGGACAGUGUCUGGUGGGUAGUUUGACUGGGGCGGUCUCCUCCCAAAGAGUAACGGAGGAGCACGAAGGUUGGCUAAUCCUGGUCGGACAUCAGGAGGUUAGUGCAAUGGCAUAAGCCAGCUUGACUGCGAGCGUGACGGCGCGAGCAGGUGCGAAAGCAGGUCAUAGUGAUCCGGUGGUUCUGAAUGGAAGGGCCAUCGCUCAACGGAUAAAAGGUACUCCGGGGAUAACAGGCUGAUACCGCCCAAGAGUUCAUAUCGACGGCGGUGUUUGGCACCUCGAUGUCGGCUCAUCACAUCCUGGGGCUGAAGUAGGUCCCAAGGGUAUGGCUGUUCGCCAUUUAAAGUGGUACGCGAGCUGGGUUUAGAACGUCGUGAGACAGUUCGGUCCCUAUCUGCCGUGGGCGCUGGAGAAUUGAGGGGGGCUGCUCCUAGUACGAGAGGACCGGAGUGGACGCAUCACUGGUGUUCGGGUUGUCAUGCCAAUGGCACUGCCCGGUAGCUAAAUGCGGAAGAGAUAAGUGCUGAAAGCAUCUAAGCACGAAACUUGCCCCGAGAUGAGUUCUCCCUGAGACUUUAAGUCUCCUGAAGGAACGUUGAAGACGACGACGUUGAUAGGUCGGGUGUGUAAGCGCAGCGAUGCGUUGAGCUAACCGAUACUAAUGAACCGUGAGGCUUAACCUU
rnacentral:rRNA from 1 species